rnacentral:misc_RNA from 1 species
GGAAAACAAAGCGUACGGUGAGAGCCGUUCGCCGCGCCGCUAACUUUUCGUGCGCAUGAAUUUGUGGAGGGGCUGAAGGCUGGCCAAGCGUUGACGCUGCUUACUUUGCAGAACUCGCUUGCGCGGGCCUCCCAUUAGGACCCACCCCCCAAAACAGUCCAAAAUUUAACGGUUGAAACUGUGUAUAUUUUCACUUGCGCAUUUUAUCGAGCAGGAGAGGGGACAAAAAGAGUCGUUGAAUGAACUAAAUUAUUCCAACAGGGAUUGAGCUGACUAGGGUUGAUGGAGACAUGGUUCUUGCAGGCCAACUUGGUGCACGAUUGAUGACUGUAUGUUAACUGUUUUCUUGUGCUCUUGAGCGCAACAUCAAUAAUGGAUCUUUCUGUGGUGUUUAAUUUCCAUCUUCUGUCUUGUAGUGAUCUGUCUGAUGCUGCAAACAGUUUAGAAACUACCAAGGGCUAAUGAAAAGACAAAAGUACUAGGCUUGAAAACUUGAAAUUCAAUUAGGAUGAAAAUUUUAGUCUUCCUAUCAUAAACAAAUCAAUAUAUGACACAUCAUCAGGCUCAAUCUAAAAUGAUAUCAGAUUAUGGCUAUUGUUUUCUGCCGACUUGGAAAAACAGGCUCAAAUAGUAGCAUCAUUCUUGAGGUGUACACGUGCUCUCAUGCGUCAAUCCACAUUCUGUGAUUAUUGGUGACCCGUCUAGGUGAACCACAGAUAAAAAAUGUACUGUUUUUACUCUUGCAAUAUUGGUCCCUAAUACUUGGAGGUUGGCAAAAAAGGAAUGAUAAGAAAAGUUUGGAUAGCACAUGGUUAACUGGGUGAAGGGUUGCUUCAUUUUGAGCUUCUUGUUAUACCGAAAAAUAAUAAAGACCAGUGAACAUAGAAAAACCAUUUCUUCUUGGAUUCAUGAUCUAGUGAUUCAAUAAAUUAAAAAAUUCAAUUGUCCCUCAUUCUUAAAUAUUCUUUAUGGCUUUCACAGAUAGGGAAGACCCAAGGGAAGCCAAGAUCUCAGUUGAGAGACUGCUUAUUUGAAGGAAAAUAUCUUGGAGAAGCAAACAAAUUUUCUUUUCUUUGGAUGCUCGGUCCAUUCCUGAUUGGUUUAUUGUGCCAUAGAGUGCCUAUGAUUUAUGCUUUUUUCCCAGUUGGAAUAUGUUGAUGGCACUGGAUGAUGAGGUCGAAGAGAGAAAAGACAAACCUGUCAAGAACCGCUAGCAAGAAGACAGGAAUGUUCAUGCAUUUAACCAAGAAAAUAUAUUGUCAAUACUUUUCCCAGUGAUCAUGGAUCAACGGAUCAUGUGCUAGUCAUGUUAUCUAAGAAGAAAACUUUUUUUUUUCAUGGGUUUCAAAUGCAUGUUCUACCAUGACUAUGAUUCUUACACUAUCACAUUUUUGUGUACGUUAAUCUGCAGAAGAGGUGGAGUUGCGAAGCCAAGUGAUUCUGUACAUCUUCUGUAGCGAAAUUGAAUCUAUACUGCUAGCAGACACGAUUGAAAUGUAGGAAGGAUAGAGCCAUCAAAAGCUAGAGAAUAAAGAUCCCAAAAUGGGGAAAUAUCUCCUUGGAGACCUUGUGACAAGAAAUUGGUAAGGGAUGCCACAAUUCAAACUGGCAUCUCGGCGGGUUGGCUUGGCUUGGCUGUGCCCCUACUUGCUCAAUGUCAUGAUCAACAGUAUGGGCCCAUUUUGUUGGAUUUGCUUCCUCUAUAAUUCCAAUUAAAUACAUUCUUAAUUCCAUCUAUU